GUUGCAACAGCAGCAGAGGACCAGCAGAGCAGAGAACCUGCAGCGGCAGAGAAGUGGCAACAGCAGAGAGCCAGCAGCAGCAGAACCAAGAGACCAGUGUGAGACAGCACUGAAGCUGACCCGUGGAGCCAGAGAGCCGAGUGCCUGUGUGCAGGAGGCUUCCUGGCAGCGUGGGGUGCCUCUGGGCACUUAUUAGUGGAGCUACAGAGCUUUGGAACACUUGCCCCAGUAGGGCAGAUGUGGAUGUGAAGCCCGAGGAGCCAAGGGGCCAAGAAACCAGGAAGCAAGAGCUGAAGAGACAACACAAGAAGCCAAGCUGCCUCAGUCUCAAAAGGUACUGAAAGGAUCAGAAAGGACCAACAUGGCGCCAGAGAACAGACUUGCCGUUCUGAUCUCUUCAACUAGCAAGGAAUCUGCCUGCUCAGAAACCGGUGUGAAGGGUAGCAAGGACAACCUGCAGAACAGAACUUAAGGCUCCAGCUGGAGUCUACACAGAAUCAGCCUACAAGAGGUCACAUUGAAAUGACAGAAAAUGAAUAUACCGUGUGUGUGCAUGCAUGCCUGUGCGUACGUAUCAAUGUUGAUAGAGCUAAAAGAAAAAAAGAAAUGGGACUAAUCUCAAAAACAAGCAAUUUGAAAAACUGUGUGUGUUCCAUUCACAACAUAGUAUGUAGCUAAAUGAAAAUUAUCAAAACAAUACUACUUACUAUUUAUAGAAACAAAUGAAAGAAAAGAAUAAAAAUAUGAACUAGAAAGGUGCAUAUCUAAUUUGCAUGAGUAGUUGUUUCUGGAGAGAAGGAAGAUAUGAUUGGGAACUGGUACAAAGGAGCCUUCAACUUCAUCUAUUAUGUUUGAUUUUUUUUUUAAUUUAAAAUAAUUAUCUGAAACAAAUUAAACCAAAAAAAAAAAAAAAAACAAAACCAGUUGCCAUCAAGUUGAUUCCAACUCGCCGUGACCCUAUGUGUCAAGUAGAACUGUGUUCCAUAGGGUUUUCAAUGGCUGAUUUUUCAAGAAAAAUCAGGCCUUUCUUCUGAGGUAUCACUGGGUGGACUUGAACAGCCAAUUUUUUGGCUAACAGCCCAGGGCUUAACUGUCUGCACCAUCCGGGUACUGAAACAAACUAAAGCACUGCUAAUUCUGGGUAAAAAAAAAAAUAGUGGGGGAUUAAUGUUUAUAUUUUCACUUUCUUGAGAAAAAUAUGGAAUAAUAAUGCAAAACAAGCAUGGGACAUAGGCAACAAUAGAAAUAAAAUCUGUUCUACCUAAAGGAGCCAGCAUUACAAAAAAGAGAGAGAGAGAGAGAAGAAGAAAAAUAGUAGGAGUAGCAGGCUGAAGGGAAAAUCAUCAUAAUCAUUACAAAACUGCUUACGGAACAGCUGGACCAGUUAGAUCACCAUCCCAACCACAAACCUGGAUAAAAUUUCUGCACUUCUUGGAUCCAGAGAGAGCAAAACUAGGUUGCUUACACAGGAAGAGAACACUGACAUCAGCCUUCUCAACAAGAGCACUGGAUGCUAGAAGAUAAUGUAGGAUGCCUUCAAAGGGCAGAGGGAAAAUAAACUUCAAUUUAAAAUUGUCUACCCAUCCAAUCUAUAAAUAAAGCAUGAGGACAAAGAGAAAAAAUAGACUUACAGAAAUACAAAAACUCACUCAGUAAUUUUACUACCAAUACUUCCUAUGCUGAAAAAAAAAAAAAGAAAAGAAAAAAUUUCUUGAGGAGAAAUGCAAAAUAGCAACAGUAAUGAUGAAGAUGAAAUACAGCAAUAUAUGAUUUUAAACGUUAAAAAAAAAACAUAAGAUCCAUUAGACUGAGAUUCUUGUAAGAUUCUCCCUUUAGCAAGUCAAUGAUUUGAUAUAUAAUUUAAUGAUUUCAAGGUAUAUGACUAUAUUAUCUUUUCUAUCAGUCCAAAUACUCUUCUUGGUUCUGUAACAAAUAAAAAUUUCCUUAUAUAAGUCUAAUAAUGUAAAUGGAGAUUUACAAAUCAUAUUUAAACUUUUAAAAACAUCCUUUAGAUGAUUUUAAUUACUUUUAUAGAACAGAAUGUGAAUAUUAUAAAGUUUGAUAAUGCAAACAAAAUCAUUUUACUGAAUUAAUAAGUAGAAGGUAAAAUGGUGGGGAGAGUAUGAGUGGUAAUUUUCUCAACUUUUAGAGCAGGAAGUCAAUAAAAUCUGUAUAAAACUGAUAAAACAAGAACCAGAUAUAGUAUGCAAUUUAAACAAUAAUUAUAACUACAGGAAGAGUAAACUUUUUUUAAGGAAACAUUUUUAAGUGCUUAUAUCUAAAUAUUGAGAAAGGCAGACUUUUAUUCAUAACUUUAGAACUUUAAGAUGUUUGAUUUUUUUUUCCCCCCACAUUCAUGUAUUGUUUUAAUAAAAUCACAACUUUAAAAAGUUUUACUUUUAAAGGGUAGUGGCUUACCUUUCCAGAGGUAUAAUGAAUUAGAUUACCUCAAGGUCUUCCUACUACAUUAGAAUUAGAUUGUGGAAAAAUUACAACAAAUAUGCAUUGUUAGAUCAUUGCUGAAUAUUUAAGAAAAUAAGAAACAUCUCCAACUGACGAACAAAAAAUCAUGUCCUAAAGUUUGAAUAGUGAGCUGUUAAGAGCACACUAAACUUGGGUUUUUUUUUUUCUUUUGGAUUUAAUAACAGACUGAAAUCAGGAGAUUAAACCCUAGAAUAAAGCAUAGUUGAAGCUAAAACUUAAGUGUUAGAUUUCCCAGGUUGUUAGCACCCAGUGGCUCCAGUAGAAUCAAAUUCUAAUCCUCUCUGGAGGAAUGCAAUCUAAACAUUUCCAAACAUUGAAUUCAAUCAAAUAACAGCUAAUAUUCAAAAGCUGCCAAACACUUCAUUUCUUUAAAAAACAAUGUACAUGUGUAUAACGUAAGAAAUUAUAGAUUUAUAUUAUGGGGCUAAUAGCAAAUGUAGAUUUAAGGUAUAUCACAAUAAUAGCACAGGGGAUGGGUAACAUUGAACUGUAUUGUGGCAGGUUAUAAUAUUUUAUAGGAAGUAAAAACUAUCUAUCUCCAAGCAGACUGUGAUAAGUUAAGUAUGCAUAUUAUAAUCCAUAUAAUAAACAUAAUAUACACACAGAGACAUACCCAUAAGGUAUACAUAAAAAGAUAUUAGAGCAAAAGUAAAAUACUAAAGAUAUUCAGUUAACCCAAAAGAAAGAAAGGAGAAAUGGAAAACUGAUUAGACAAAGCAUACGCAAAUAGCAAAAUGGUGGAUCAACUUUAAAAUAAUUACAUUAAAUGUAAAUAGACUAAGCACUGCAGUUAAAAUGCAGAGAUUUUCUCACUAAACAAAAAGAUAAGGCCUGACAAUAUGCCAUUUAUAAAAUAAACACUUUAAAUAUAAGUCACAGAUAGAUUAAAAAUAAAUAGAAGAAAAGUAAUAUACAAAAUAAUAUGCAAAAUAUUAGCAUAAGAAAGUUGGUGCGGCUAUAUUAAUAUCCAACAAAGCAUAUUUAAAGACUAGAAGAAUUACCAGAAGUAUUGCCAAACAGGGAUAUGUCAUAAUGAAAACAAGGCUGAGUUAUGAGGACAUAUAAUAAUCAUAAGUGUGUGUGAAUCAACUAACAAAGAUUCAAAAUACAAGAAGAAAAACCUGAUAAAUUUAAAGGGAGAAACAGGCAAAUCCAUAAUCGUAGUUGGAGAUUUUUAACACCAGUUUUCUCAGUAGAACAACUAGACAAGAAGGCAAUGAUACAGAAGAUCUAUUAAAAAAAAAAAAAAAGGACAUUUCUAGGACACUAUUUCCAACAACAGCAGAACAGCAGAACAUAUAUAUAUUCUUUCAAGCACAAACUAUAAAGUUCAUCAAGGUAGAUACUAUGUUGGAUCAUAAAGCAAGUCUCAAUAAAUUAUGAAAGGUUGAAAUUUUACAGAAUACACUGUGACCUCAGAGGAGGUAAAUUAAAGAAGUUAAUGACAAUAAGAUAUCAAUAAAAGUCUCAAAUAGCCUGAAAUAAAUGUUAAUCUCAAUAAUUUAUGGAUCAAAAAAGAUAUUACAAAAAAAUUAGAAAAUAUUUUAACUGAAUAAUGAAAGUAUCAAAAUUUGAAGCUAAAGGAGCUUUUCUUUUGAGAAAUUUAUGUUAUAAUGGAUUAUUAUUAGAACAGAAUAAAGAUUUAAUGACAUUUCAAAUUUCCACCAAAAGAGCACAGAAGAAAAUCAGACAAAAAUAAAGAAAUAAUAAAGAGCAGAAAUCAAUGAAACAGAAAAAAGGAAAUUAAGAAAAAGUUGGCUCUUUGAAAAUAUUUUAAAAUUCAUAAACUCCUUGCAAGAUGAAUCGUGAACAAAAGAAGGUAUAAAUUGUCAAUAUGAGAAACAAUAGAAGAUAUAUCACUACUGAUCUUUCAAAUAUGUUAGCAAUAAAGGUGGAACAAUCUUACCAAAAAAAAAAAAACCAAACCCAGUGCCGUCGAGUUGACUCCGACUCAUAGCAACUCUAUAGCACUGAGUAGAGCUGCCCCAUAGAGCUUCCAAGGAGCGCCUGGAGGAUUCAAAUUGCCAGGCCUUUGGUUAGCAGCCGUGGCACUUAACCACUACGCCACCAGGGUUUCCGGAACAAUCUUAGGACAAAAUAUUUGACAACUUCAAUGAAACUGACAAAUUUCUUGAAAAAUCACCUUCUUACAACUGAUACAAGAAAAAUAGAAUAGUUGAAUAGUCCUAAUAUAUAUUAAAAGAACUAAAUUUAUAAUAAAAACCUUUCCAUAAAGGAAAUUCUAAUCCCUUAACUGGCCAAUUCUAUCAUCUAAGGUGGAAAUGUUAGCUUAUAUAAAAUGUUUUGGAAAAUAGAGGAGACACCAAUACCCUUCUACUCAUGUUGUGAGGCCAGCAUAACUUUGUCAUCAAAACCUGACAAAGACAUUAAAUGAAAGAUAUCCCAAAUCAAUGUUUUUCAGAAAGAUUGACGUAUACAAUAUAUUAGCAAAUUGAAUCCAGCAAUGUAUAAAAAAGGUACUACAUCAUGAACAAGUAGAGUUUGUCCAAGGAAUGCAAGGUUGGUUUAACAUUUGAAAAUGAACCAAUAAAAUUCACCAUAUUCAUGAAAGAAAGCUUAAAAAUUAUAUGAUCAUCCUGUGACCCUAAUCUCCCCAGCAUGUUUUCUCCUUUUCAAAAUAGGUGGCUGAGAGCUUGACAUAACUAACGCCAUGAUGAACCUGUAAGUUUUUCUCCUUCCUCCACCUGCUUUCUCCUUUCCACAUAAUUUUGUUAAUGACUUUGUUUUGAUUUGAUGCAAAUAAUUUUGUUCUUUGUUUUGAUCUGUUGCUCAUAACUUUGUUUUGUUCUGUUUGACCACCGGCGACUAACGACCCCCCACAGGUUGGUUAGAGCCCAGAUGUUUGACAUGUAUCUCUUUAGUCUGAUAGUUCCUUUAGUCUGAUGAAGAGUCUUUGUAGCCAUCUGCAGGCUACAAAGACACUUCGAACCCUAGUAAAAAUUCUAGAAAGGUCUAAUGUAAAAUUGCUUUUUGGGAGUCUAGAGAGAUGGUCUGCAUUGCUGUUGGGUCUUCAGUGGUGUACAUCUCCUAAAUGAACUUUCUCACUCAUUCUGACUUGCAGUACAUUUCUUUGGCCGGAUUGCUCCAGGGCAUGGACCCUAAACACACAACAGUCUCAACAGAUGCAGACAAAAAAUGGACAAAAUUUAAUACCAAUAGUGGCUUGAAUUGUGCCUCUAAAAAGCACUGACAAUUUCUGCCAGUUCAGCCAGAAACUGCUGCUGCAACACGUUGCCUGGACUUCAUCUUUCUGCAGCAAUGGAAAAGCCUGGAGAUGAAAGCCAGGCAGGCACCAGGAACAAGGCCAAGCAAGGAGAAGCAGGUCUCAAGGAGUUUGCUUCUGCAUCUUGGCCAGUAGCCAGAUGGCAACCAGAGUAAUCUUGGAGUCAGUGUAGCAAGUUUCAGGGGUGCAUAUCGAACAGCCUCAAGCGUGAGUCAAGUCAAAGACCUACCUAAUUUAAUGCAUUCUAAUCAGCUCUAAGUAUUGAAUAUGCAGUAAAUGUAAUUGACCCAUACUGGAAAAUUUUUGCCCUCCACAAAGAGGUCUGGUCUUGCCCUCUUUCUCCAUCCCUCAGCCAGCUGCUGGGAGGGCACUGCAACUCAGUUACGGCUACUUUCACUGCUUUUGGUUCAUUGCAGAAACUUAAAUAUCUCCAGCUAUCCUCUGAUACUCAGGUCCUGGACAGAUUUGCUCCACCUCUUUUAAAUAGACGUGGAGAAAUGCACAUCCCAAGAAAUAAGAGAGUGUCACUUUUGUACAUUUUAUCACUUGCAUUGUUUUGCACUUUAUUUGUUUGCUUUUUGCCUUCUGAUCUCAUUUCCUUCUUUAGAGGUCAGGAAGUAGGUUCAGGCUGAGGCUGGAUUAGAAUGAAUGAGACUGUAACGUUUGAACUAGAAAUCAUAUUUGAAAAUAUUUGUUUAAAUUACCUCAUUUUUGCAAAGGCCAACAGGUUAUGUAGUUUGCAGAGAUCACACUAGUGUUAGAUAGAGGAUACCUUAAGACCCUUUCCAGUGAUCUGAUAUACUCAUGAAGACAACAUACCUUCUGUGGAAUGUGAAUCACAACUUUCGGGGCAUUUAGUAGGUCUUCAACAAUAAGUGUUGUGUUAGUAGCUGUUCCACAACUAAUUCCUAUGUGAGACACUUUAUCCAUAAGAAAUAAGAUUCCUUUAAGUUGAUGCACAGUAGAAAACAAUCUGAUGUAUAUGUUACCAUUUUCUUCCUAUUGCUUGGGAUUGAUAACUGUGAAACACAGCUCAAGUGAGAGGAAAAACCUUAAAUAAAAUGCCUUGGCAACUACAUGAGCAAGAGCUUUGGUUUGGAUGGGCAAAUGUGGUUACAUUUCCCCCUUUCAUCUUGGCUACCAUACCACCGCAGAAAGUUCUGCCCUCUGGACAGCACUGCCUUCGCUUACCCAAUGUUGAUAUUAAACAUCUGGUUCAUCAAAAGAGGAAAAAGACGAUUGUCGUAAAAGGAAGGAUUCUCAGAACCGAAGACAAGCUGCUACUUUCCAACUGAAAAUGUCAAACACUUAUUCAUACAGUUCUCGCUAGACUUGAUUUAUAUGAGCAACUGCCAAUCCUUAACCUCCCCCCUCAUCCAAGUGCAAAUGGGAAGCCUGUUUUUUCAGCCAUUAAUAUCAUGUUAGUUUUGUUUGACAUCCUGAAUAGAAAAUCAUUUCUUCCCACCACGUGAGAGUCAUUGAUUUUCCUCUGUGGUUUGCUUUCAAAUCUGCUAAUUACUAAACAUAUUCAU